ACGAGCUGCAUAUUGGCUUAUGAAAUUACAUCUCUGAAAGUGAAGAUAAGCUAUAACUAUGAAUUUACAGGUUAGUAUAGCAAUAGCCAACACUUUUAAUGUUUUAAUAUGAAAUGGUUUAAUUGUAUAAAUGUUCAUGCUAUUCAGGACAAGGAACCAAUGAAAUACCAGAUUAGGCAUUCAUGAGAAGGAAUUUUUGCUGUUGAAAACCUUCACAUCUAAUCAAGAGGCAUAGUUUGUAGUAGAUUGUAAUAUAAACAUUUGUUACACGUUCAUAUCACCCACUGUGCUGUUUUCAGGAGAGCACCAGCAUUGGUAUCGAGUUGGCCCAGCAACAGUACCAGUCCAGCAUGCAGGAGAUCCAGUCAAGGACGACCCUUCCCCUCCCCUGACCCCUAACUCCUCACUUUUGACCUUCAGCCUCAAAGGAUCAGCAUCGCUGAACAAUUCUCUUCUCCAGGAAAUUCUCAGCUCUUCAAGUUUUCACGGGCUGUUCUCAACAACCGCAAUGUCCUGGUCCAGUUUUCCUUACUCAAGCCUGAGUGAGCCCUAGUUUUGUUAAAUAUAAGUAGUAGAAAUGGUAACACUAACAGCCAGUGUUCUUGCUGUUGGACAUCACAAAGAAUAUCACAGAAUAAAAAGUUGAAUAACUUGUUCCAUUCAUUAUGGGACCAACAGAAAUUCAGCAAGAAAUAGGGCAAAAAAUCAAGGAACAAUUGAAGCGAUUAAUUUAGAAGUGUAUGCUUUCCAAAGUAGAUACUUCUGCUGUUGAUAGUUUUGACAGUAAUAGCGUUACGGACGCCUCGGUUUGUCCUCUCAGGCGUGUAAACUGUCUAAAGAGAAAAAGCUUCUGACGCUUUUGCUGACGAAGAAAGGCAGUAAUGACUUGGCUGUGAACACCCAGAGGACAAUACAUCCUUGGGGCAUGCCUCAGACGCAAAUUCCGCUCAAGAUUAUAAACAAGGUGCAAAAUGUGAAUAUGUCUAGCUGUGUUACGAGCACUUCCCACUCCGAGCCCAUAGGCCUCGUAUUGAAUCGAGGCUAGUGAAGGCAGUUGUGUUGUGUGGUCCAGUAUGCCCUUCUACUCUCAACCCGACGUUAAUCAGAACUCAAACUCAGCCCUUAGCACUAUCAGCUCAGCUCCUUGAGCCUCAGGACUUGAUGCAAUCCUUGAUUGGUACCCAGCUUAACAACAGGCUCUUUGGUCAGCUGGUCUCAGACGCCCAGAGACACUUCCUGUGCAUCGGGGGUAGUUGGCUCUUGGCACAGGACCUCGGGCCAAAUGCUCAACAAAUCCUUAGCGCAGGGUGCAGCCAGUCUAAACCUGGGGUUUCAAACUUUCCUGCCUAAGGGCCAAGAUUAUCUCAUUUACAAGGAGAGCACCAGCAUUGAUAUUGUGUUGGCCCAACAACAGCACCAGUCUGGCAUGCAUGAGCCCCAGUCCAGGACAACCCUUCCCCUACCCUGAUUCAUAUCUCCUCCCCCAAGACCUCCAGCCUCAAAUUCUGAACACAUCCAGUUUUCUUGCACUGAUCUCAUCAACCGCAUUGUCCACGUCAAGUUAUCCACUGUCGAGCCUGAGUAGUUUUGUUUAGCUUGAGUGUCCGAGUGGGAAGAGUGUUACAGACACAAGGAAUUAUAUCAGUAGUUAUGGUAAUGCUCAAUCAACAGUCAGUUCUUGCUGUUGGACAUCACUGUAAAUAUCACGACGAAUGAGAAGUUGAAUAACUUGUUCCAUUCGUUAUGGGACAAACACAAAUUCAGCGAGGAACGGGACAAAAAAUCAAGGAACAAUUGAAGCGAUUAAUACAGAAGUGUAGGCUAGAUACUUCUGCUGUUGAUAGUUAGGACAGUAGUAGCGUUACGGACCGUCUUGGUUUGUCCUCUCAGGCAUUUAAACUGUCCAAAGGGAACAUAAAGCUUUUGAUGCUGUUGCUGAUGAAGAAAGGCAGUGAUGACUUGGCUGUGAACACCAAGAGCACAAUACAUCAAUGGGGCAUGCCUCAGACGCAAAUUGUGCCCAAGAUUGUAAACAAGGUGCAAAAUGUGAACAUGUCUAGCUUUGUUACGAGCACAUGCUUGGCACUUGUAUUGAAUCGAGAAUAGAGUUGGCUUUGAAAAAUGACAGCAGUUUUGUAAUGUCGUCCAGUACGCACUUGGACUCUCAACCGAGUUAGUCAGAACUCAAACUCGGGCCUUAGUAAUAUCAGCAAGAGCCUGGAUGUUUGCAAAAUUGCUUUAUAUUCUGAUGAUAACACCAGUGACUAGAAGUUGUAGAGACGCUCAAAGUGAAACAAUUUGUUCCAACAGAUAGAACAGGCGUUGAUUGAUUCGUCCGUAAAUGUGACUGGCCUUAAUAUGUUGCUCUGGAAUAAUGUGAACCUCACCAGGAGAGCUGUCUGCGAUUGACGCCAUUCAACAAGAGUUGUUGUCGGGAAUUCCCGGGUUUGGAUUGGUGACUUAGGUGUCGGGACUCGCUUCAUCUCUGCAUAUGGCACGGUCGCAGCAGCAGCAACAAGAACAGCAGUCGCUUCUGAGUCCGGACAAAGAUGCUGUGGAUGUGGUGGACAAGAAUGACCUGAAUACGCAGAAGCAACUGCUCAGCACAGAAGACGACUGUCUGGUCAAAGGCUCAGCUGUAUCAAAGUUCAGUGAUGUGGGGGGACGUUGCUGUUCCAUGUCUGAGGAUCGCAUCAUAUAGGACACUUUAGCUGACACUUAUAAGGUAGAGCAGGAGCAUUGAUAUCGAGUUGACGCGGCAAUGGCACCAGUCGGACCCCAGGAGCCUCAGUCCAGGACAACCCUUCCCCUCCCCUGACCCCUAGCUACUCCCCUUUGACCUCCUGACUCAAAGCUUCAUUGAGCAAUACCGGUCUGCUGGAAUAUCUGAGCAUGUUGAGUUUCCUCAAGCUGUUCUCAACAACUGCACUGUCCUUGUUGAUUGAUACGCACUCAAGCCUGAGUAGUUUGUUAAGCUCAAGUGCCGGGGAUGGGACAAGUAUUGCAGACACGUGAAGUAAUAGCAGUAGAUAUGGCAACAAUUAUAGUCAUUGACCGUGGGCAUCACAACGAAUAUUAUGAAGAAUAAAAUGUUGGAUAACUUGUUCUAUGGUUUAUGGGACUAACAGAGCCUCAUAGAAUUAUGGGAGAAAAUCUAUAAACAAUUGAAGAGUUAAAGAUUAAAACAUAAGCUAUCCACUGGGGCUACUUCUGGUUUCGAUAGUAGUAGCAUUAUGAACCAUCCUGGUUUGACCUCUCAGGCCGUUAAAAUGUCCAAAGUGAAUGUGAUUUGACGCAGUUCUGACAAAAAAAACUUUGUUAUGAACGCUCAUAGCACAAUGAAUACAUCGGGCAUGGUUCAGGUGCAAAUUCUGCCCAACAUUGUUAACAAGGUGCUUAAGGUGCACCCAUCAGGGUUUGUUAUGAGCACUUCACACUUCAAGCCAAAACGGUCUCGCACUGAGUUGAUGCUUGAGAAGGCGUUGCAAAAUGACAGCAGUUUGAUGUGUGGUCCAGUAUGCCCUUUGACUCUCAACGCAACGUUAAUUAGAACUCAAACACGGCCCUUAUCAAUAUCAGCGAGGCUAGAAUGUCGUCUCAGCUUCUUGAGCUUCGGGUCGUGGGUAAACCUGCUUUUUCCAGAACCCAUUAGGUUCCCAGGGCCUUGGUUGUGACCCUCUUCACAUCAUGCCAAGCGCCAUGUUUCCCCCUGGUCAACAGCACUGUAUUUAUGGCGACAAUAAUUGGCUACAAAAUCCUUGACGUCAACCCAGUACUCCCUUUGGGGUAAAGCAAUGUGCCCCUAGAAACAAACAUCGUCACAGAUCUCUCUCCAAUGGCUUGAAGCUGUACACAUCUCCAAACACUGCUUCAUAUUAAGCUACCAGCAGUAUCCAUGCAACAAACCCAUUAUUGCCCAGCAACAGCUACAUCAGCAGAAGUGGUCAAUUAAGCUGUCAACCAUAUUUUGGCAGCCAAGGUUGACCCACACCUCUCAGAGCAAAUCAGUGGGCUUUGAUGUCGCAGCACAUCAACUCAAAGAGAUCCAUGCGAGGUCAGCCCUCACAACAGUGCCAUACCAUUACGUCCUCCAACUCGCCCCAGUAUUCACCUUGGUGUCAGGGAAAAAUUCAAGGUCACAUGGGCCUUGGUGGCCUUUGCAAGAUUGGCAUGUUAGACUGGAGUGAUGGGACAUCUUCCAUGUCAAUUAAGAUCUUGCUGCAAUUAUUUUCUCUUUAAUAAGUCAUUAAUUAAAAUGAUUGCAACUACAAAAGGAAUACUUAUGCUGCUAUGGAUAAAAAUCUCCAAACAUAUUAAUCUGAGAUUGAAGUUGGACUUUUGGCUAUAUUGUGUUUAUUUAGUGUUGACAUUAAUGGAGUUUUUAGACAAAAGUGGAAUGUGGGCGCAUCUGUGAAAUGCUUGCCAGCACUAAUUCUUAGAGGACAUAUAAGUUUUCUCAGAACAUAUCGCCUUACACAGAUAUUUUGAUAAUGUGUGAUAUUUUUCUACUAUAAAAAAUUAUCAUUUUCUGAUAUCCCAUCCUUUAUUGCCUAAUUGAUGGUUUUGGAUGAUAUUUGGAAAUGAAGAGGUGAAAAAGAAACAAACACUUGUAUACUUCAGUUUUUAUUCACCUAAAGUUUUUUGUAAUUUAAACAACAGCCCAGGAUCAUCAUGACUGUGCGUGUUCUUUGCUCUCAGACUCCUUGUUAAAAAACAAACAAAAUGACACACUGAUGUUAACAAAAUGCAACUUCCUUUUUUCAGACACUAAUCAACACAAUCAAACGGGCCAAGACAGCCUGUUGCAUCAGUUAGUCAUACCUUGGAAGAUCAGUUAUAAAUAAAAUUUAAACACUUGCUACUUUCUUAGUGCCUGCAUUGGUUGUGUUAUAGCCUCGCCUUCUGUUGUGAACAAUUACAAUAAUGGAAGAUCAGAACUGUGGGAUGGGUUGGAAACGAGUGGCAUAGUUCAAAAUGAAAUUGCAGAAUGAAAGUCAUGUGGCCAACCAUAAGUAGUGUGGCAUUGUGGCAUGUGACCAGCGAAUACAUUUCAUGGUUUAUGGGCAUUAUAAUGCUGUCAAUGAUAUGAUGUUAAUGAUUUUUGUUAAAUGAAGUAAACAUAGGUAGUAGAAAUGAAGUGAAUAUUACUUGUUUAAAGCACUUAUAUAAAGAAUUAUUAUUUUAAGCCAAAAAGAAGAAAGUCUUUGUAUUGAUCACUUCUUUAUAUUUAUUAAUACUUAAGAUUCUGAAAUUAUCACUCUUCAUUUUUGCCGGAUUUUGGAAAAACUUAAAUAAAGAGUUCGCAUAUGCUGACUUUCAACUUAAGCAAAGCUGUUUAAAUAAUACUAGUAACUUAUACAAAAUGUCAUAUUCAAUCAUUGUCUUCUUUUUAUUAAAUAAAACAUAUUUCAGUAUUGUUUUACCAGUAAUAUAGCUAGACAUGCUAUUUUUUUAAAGAAAGAUAAAAGAAAUUGACACUUCUAUUUUGAUCUUUCUGUAUUUCAGUCUGUAUACAAUACUUAUUAGUUUGCUUAGAGGACCCAGUAUUUUACCAAGAAUCGUGUGUAGUCUCAUACAAUUUAAAAUGCAAAAUAUUAAUUAAUUUACGACAAACUUGUUUUAUCUUCUGUAAAUUGUAAAUUUUGUAUUGACAACUGGUAUUAUUAGUAAAUAUUUACACAAUUUCAUCAUAUUUUAAAAGCUGUAUACAUGUUCAAAACACUGAUAAUAGACACAAAACCUAUGUUGUCAACAUUUGAAAGAGGAUUGUUUGAAAUGAAUAAAAUUUGAAAGGUUAUCUUAACUUAAAUUGCUAUGUUUUUUGUAAUGAUAUGGAAAGACCAUAAUUCUGUGGAAUAUUUUCAAUUAAUUCAUUUAUUAUGAUGAGAUUAUUCGUGAAUACUAACCAACGUUAUAAUUAUAAAUAGCUAAUGGUGGAUAACACACUUAUAACUAACACUUAUCUCUAGUGUUGACGUUUGUAUUCGGAGAGAAUAGUUCAUGAUGCUUUGUAAACACUGCAGGCUCGUAUAGAAACCAGAUUUUAAUGUGCGUAAAUGAGUGAUAUAACUAAUGACCAAGAUUUUGAAAUCGCUAUAGUAUACAGGUAUAUAUAUAUAUUUACAUUAUGCUAUUGUUGAUAUAAUAUAGCAAAAUACAUUCAUAGCCGGUGUAAAUUAUUUAUGAUUUGUGUUUUGUUUCAAUUUGAUGAACACACUGAUGUUUUACGUGCAUAUUUUAGUUGAAAGACAAUAAAAAUAAUCUUGUUUGUGUGAAUGAUCAUAUGUAACUUGUAAGAUUUUAUAGCUAUAUCAAAAUAAAAUAUCUUGAAAACAAAAAUAUAUUAAGUAAUAGAAACACAUUGUUUUAUACGAUCAUACGUUUAACAUAUCCAAUAACAAUCUCAGCACAUAUUGACAAUAUUUUUAAUUAUGUAGGAAAUCAUGUAAAAAUAUUAAUAUGUGGAAAUUUGGAAAACAAUUUCAUAUCAAGUGAGAGCAAUGGGAUGUGCUUGAAAUUGUCAAUAACUGCAAUUUUAAGUAAUAUUUAUUUAUUAAUUUAGGUUCAAUUGAAUUCCCCAUGCUCAACAAACACUUGUGUAUUUGUUAUAACAAAAUUCAUAUUUAAUGAAAUUUGUAAAAAAUUAAUUUGAUAGAAUGACAAUAGAGUGUUGAAUUAUUUUUGUAAUUCUGACUUAUAUUAAAGCAUGCACUGCACAAUAUAAUAUGGCACUCCAAUAUAUUCAUACACUUUUAUGAUAUUAUUAUACUUGCUAAUUAUUUUAUAUUUAACAUAUAACUGACGCUUUAAAAGUUUUACACAUAUCUUAAAGCCAGACUUCCCCAUAAAAUCUGAUUGUUUAUAUUCAAACUUAAAUUCAAAUCAAAUGCGUUUUGUGUUGUUCAACAAUUAAAUAACCUUUGUGUAUGUACAUUUUAUGUCAUACUUCAAUUUCAUAGUAUAUUGAUAUUUACAGUGAGAACAAAACACACAUUUUAUUUCAAUUUGUAUCAUUGUUUAGCUUAAAUAAAAUGGUAACCAUACAAGUGUAAAAAUUAUGAUUAUUGGGCUAUAUUGGUAUGAUUAAUUUAAUAUUUCGUCCAACACCAACGUGACAUUUUGCUAUGGCACGGCUCUGUUGUAUAAAGUGAAUUGUAUGGAAAUAGCUCCAAGGCCUUUAUAAAGAGCCUGUGUAACACAUCAUGAUUUUUGACUCCUCAAUUGAUUGCAUCAUUUUGUCUCACGUGCGUCAAUAUCUUCAUAUCGUAGAUAACAACGUCUCUGCUUGUAAGUGAAUUUUAAUUAUUCAUGUUUAGAUAUUUCUCUAAACUGUAAACAUACGUGUUAAAUAACUAUAUCAUUAUUUUACUGUCUGUGUAAUUAAAAUAAAUAUUUUCUAUAGUGUUCUGUCAUAACUGUCAAUAACUGUUUUUUUUAAGACAACGCAAAUUAUACUAAUCAUAGUGUAGAGUCAACCGCUACUAUAAUUAGUGGUUUGUUUGUAGAGGGAUGUAAUAAUAAUGUGUAUGUAUAUAUGUAUAUUUGUUGAACCAAAUUUGUUGUUCCACUUUCGUUAAUGUACAUAGCUAUCCCUUGAGAGGAAAUAUUGUUGUACGUUAACAAUUCAUUGCUAUCAAAAUAAAAAACAUAUUUGUUUUCUUA